UACGUAGGGGGCGAGCGUUAUCCGGAUUCAUUGGGCGUAAAGCGCGCGUAGGCGGCCAGCUAGGCCGGGCGUCAAAGACCGGGGCCCAACCCCGGAAAGCGCCCGGAACCGGCCGGCUCGAGUCCGGCAGGGGGGGGCGGAAUUCCCGGUGUAGCGGUGAAAUGCGCAGAUAUCGGGAGGAACACCGACGGCGAAGGCAGCCCCCUGGGCCGGCACUGACGCUGAGGCGCGAGAGCCGGGGGAGCGAACA
rnacentral:rRNA from 1 species